rnacentral:rRNA from 1 species
GACAGAGGAGGCAAGCGUUGUCCGGAUUGACUGGGCGUAAAGCGUCCGCAGGUGGUCGCGCAAGUGCGCUGUGAAAGCGGCCCGCUCAACGGGCCGAGGCCAGCGCAGACUGCGCAACUCGAGGUCGGGAGAGGUCGGUGGAAUUGCCGGUGUAGUGGUGAAAUGCGUAGAGAUCGGCAGGAACACCCAAGGGGAAGCCAGCCGACUGGCCCGCACCUGACACUCAGGGACCGACAGCGUGGGGAGCGAACCGG